rnacentral:snRNA from 1 species
AUCAUUUCAUUGCAGUAUUGUAGCCAAUGAGGUUUAUCCAAGGCAGAAUUAUUGUUAAUUAAAAACUUUUCCAAAUACCCCACAGUGAGAACUUUCAAUAUUUUUAUUUUUUAAAAACAGGCUUUUGCCU